AGGACGACAGAUGCCCGCGGCAAUGAUCGAGGAUGUCCUUGGUUCCUACGUUCGUGCCCGUCCUGGCAACAACGAACAAUGCCGGCACCUCGCCUAAAUGCUCAUGGGGAAUUCCAACCACCGCGCUGUCGACCACAUUCUCGAUCGUAUUGACGACUUCCUCAAUUUCAGCCGGCGCGAUGUUCUGGCCGCCACGAAUGAUCAAUUCCUUCAAGCGUC
rnacentral:misc_RNA from 1 species